rnacentral:lncRNA from 1 species
UAAAGAAUAUUCUGAGAAUAUGCUAAGAAUAUGCCAAGGGGUGAUUUGCAAGCUUUUAAAGACUAGGGGGAAGACUAGAGAAGAUUUAAGUUGGGUGACUAACUUAUAAAAAAUUGAAAGUAACUUCUAUAUAAGCAAAAUCAAAAUUUACUUAUAUUCAUUUUAGCCAAAUUGGCUAAGUUUAGAGAGAGAGAGAGAGAGAGAGAAAAGAGAGAGAGAAGAUGAGCUAGGAUUAUCAUGUAGCAAGCCAAGAACAACACCCCAAGAUCCAUCUCAUAUCUUUGAAGAAGAAAGAAAAUCAAAGCAAGGUAUAAGAAUUCUUAAACACAAAACUCUAAUUAGUUUAUGUGUUUGAUUUUUGUCAAAAUAAUGAGUUUUGAUCUUCAAAACUCUAGAUCUACAUGAUUUAGAGUGUUUUAUGUGUGGAUCUAUCUAUUUUAUGUUUCAAAAGAUAGAUCAAAAGCAAGAAAAGUGAAGCUAGGUUUUUAAGGUGUAGGAAAUCUUAUUUUUCUUACUCUUGAAUGUGUUUAAUCUUGUAUUUGAUUUUUGGUUAUUUUGAACCAUGAAGUUUAUGAUCCUGAACAUGAGAACUAUAGAUCUACAUGAUAUAUGAUGUUUUAUGGUUAGAUCAUGCCAUUUUUAGGGUCGACAAGCUUGAUCAAGAGAAAGAAAAGCAAAACAGUUUUUUUUAAAAUGAAUUGGUAACUGCUGCCCCUAAACAGUAAAUUCCGAAUUUGUUUGGAUGGUCUAAAAAUUCUGGACUUUUGAUAUGUUGUAGUACACUCAAUAAGCUUUCCAUAGACUCCGAAACGGACUAAAUCCGACAUCGGAGGAGAGAGUUAUGAAAUUUCUCCCAAACUACUCAAAGUUAAGAAAACUGUUAGAAGGACAGUUUUGAACAGCCACUUCCGGGCUAAUUUCUGGGAGCUUAACAUGUCCAAAUAUGGAUUGUGAUAGAUGAAAACUGUAGUUCGGAAAGAUAGGAAUCCAACAAAAUUGACGGAUCAUUAAUCGGAGUUAUAGAUUUCAUUUUAUUUAAGUUUUGGUAAAGGACUCCAAAACUGCAUAUGUGCAAAAGUAAACUGCCAAAAAUUUUCCGGAGGCUGUUUCGGUAAUUUAUUUUGUGAGAAAAAUUCCGGGCUUUCGGGAAAUGAAAAUAUGUGGUAUUAUGUAGCUCGUGUCCAAAAAUGAGCUAAUUCCGAGUUAAAACGGCCAAGUUAUGACUAUUCUAAUUUUUGUGAUUUUCCGACGGAAAUCGCUAUAACCAGAGUUCUACAACUCCGAUUGCCACGAAAUUUAAAAUGGAGCAUCACGUUAACAUAUAUAAGGUUAUGUCAAAAGAUGGGCAUCUCUGGAGUUAAGCACGAGGUAGCUAAUUUUCUUAAGUCACGCACUAUUUAUGAUUUUUGAAAAAUAGUAAAAGAAAUUGAAAAAUUAUGGAAAAAUAUUUUUUAUGUAUGAAAUACAUGUAUAUAUGUUUGACCAAAGGAUAAAAAAAUAAUAAGUUGAUUUGGUAUUUUUCGUGAAAAAGAAUAGUGAUUUCGGGAUACUGAAAUAAAAUCCGUCUUACUGAAAUGGUAUUUCGGUUUACUAAGAUGUUAUCUAAUUUACUAGGAUAACAUAUAAAAAUGAAUAACUUAUAAGUAUAAGUUAUGAUGUGAUUAAAAGAAUAUCAAAGUAUAAUAAUAAUAUUAAGACUUAAAACUAAUGUCUAAUACUUAACUAUAUGUUAUGACUAACCGAAAGAUCUAUUAUAGGUUUUAUAUGCUGUAUAGACUGAUAGGAGUAUGUGGAAAUAUGUUUAAGUUAUUUUAUAACAAUGAUGAUAUUAUUCUAAUAUUGGAGAUCUAUAUUAUUAAUAUUAGGUCUUCAGGAGAAGCGUAUUAUAUUGCGUUACGGUAAUCAACGGUUCAGGCAAGUUUUUCAAGUUCUUUUUACUUAAACUCUUUUAAGAGUGGUUUCAGACAGAUAUGCUUAUGAAUUGUACUCUGUACAUAUUGCAUGUAUUCAUCAGGUAUGAAAGGCUGAUCACCUUCAUUACCAGUCAGUUCAGAUAUAAUUGUUAUGUUCAUUUUCAAUGUUCAUUCAGCUUUGAAAUUUUGUUCAUGCUAAUUCACAACUACAUUGUGAAGGAUAGCCAGCUUAUUAUUCAAACUCUUUCAAUCAUGAUAUAUCUUUACCUUGUUUUUUUUAAACUUGCUGGGCAACUUUCAUGCUCACCCUUGCUAUAUCAUGAUAAAACAUUGCAGAUAAGGCGAAUACGGCCAGAUACAGGAAAAGGAUAAUGCCAAGUUCAGCUUGGGAUAGAAUGUGAAGUUAAGUUGUAAAGUAUGUUGAAGAAUAGUAUUGUCAUGUGUUAGACAGUUCACGAUUGUGUAUUAGUUAAGGUUACUCGAUUUUGGGAAUAGUGUGUAAAGUUUAAUGUAUAAACAAUCUAUGUUUAUAUCUUCCGCAAACAGUUAUAGAAUGAUUGAACCGGAUCCGCGGCGAUUCGGGACCCGGAUCUGGGGAUGCUACAGAGAUCAAGG